rnacentral:rRNA from 1 species
UACGGAGGAUCCAAGCGUUAUCCGGAUUUAUUGGGUUUAAAGGGUGCGUAGGUGGCCUGUUAAGUCAGGGGUGAAAGACGGUAGCUCAACUAUCGCAGUGCCUUUGAUACUGAUGGGCUUGAAUGAACUAGAGGUAGGCGGAAUGUGACAAGUAGCGGUGAAAUGCAUAGAUAUGUCACAGAACACCAAUUGCGAAGGCAGCUCACUACACAAUCAUUGACGCUGGAGGCACGAAAGCGUGGGGAUCAAACAGG